UACGUAGGGGGCUAGCGUUGUCCGGAUUUAUUGGGCGUAAAGAGCGUGUAGGCGGCCUGGUAGGUCUGCUGUGAAAACUCGAGGCUCAACCUCGAGAUGUCGGCGGAAACCAUCUGGCUAGAGUCCGGAAGAGGAGAGUGGAAUUCCUGGUGUAGCGGUGAAAUGCGCAGAUAUCAGGAGGAACACCCGUGGCGAAAGCGGCUCUCUGGGACAGUACUGACGCUGAGACGCGAAAGCGUGGGGAGCAAACAGG
rnacentral:rRNA from 1 species